UUUUUGGAGAGUUUGAUCCUGGCUCAGGACGAACGCUGGCGGCGUGCUUAACACAUGCAAGUUGUGCGAGAAAGCUACCUUCGGGUAGUUAGUAAAGCAGCGGACGGGUGAGUAACGCGU
rfam:Selenihalanaerobacter shriftii strain ATCC BAA-73 genome assembly, contig: EI55DRAFT_scaffold00013.13